rnacentral:rRNA from 1 species
AUUGAACGCUGGCGGCAGGCCUAACACAUGCAAGUCGAGCGAGCGGCGGACGGGUGAGUAAUGUCUGGGAAACUGCCUGAUGGAGGGGGAUAACUACUGGAAACGGUAGCUAAUACCGCAUACCAUCAGAUGUGCCCCGAUGGUAUUAGGUGGUAGGUGGGGUAACGGCUCACCUAGGCGACGAUCCCUAGCUGGUCUGCGAGGAUGACCAGCCACACUGGAACGGAGACACGGCCCAGACCCCUAGGGGAGACAGAGGUGGGGAAUAUGGCACAAUGGGCGAAAGCCUGAUGCAGCCAUGCCGCGUGUGUGAAGAAGGCCUUCGGGUUGUAAAGCACUUUCAGCGGGGAGGCGUUACCCGCAGAAGAAGCACCGGCUAACUCCGUGCCAGCAGCCGCGGUAUAC